rnacentral:SRP_RNA from 1 species
GCCGGGUGCGGUGGCGCGCGCCUGUAGUCCUAGCUACUCGGGAGGCUGAGGCAGGAGGAUCGCUUGAGUCCAGGAGUUCUGGGCUGCAGUGUGCUAUGCCGAUUGGGUGUCCGCACUAAGUUCGGCAUCAAUAUGGUGACCUCCCGGGAGCGGGGGACCACCAGGUUGCCUAAGGAGGGGUGAACUGGCCCAGGUCGGAAAUGGAGCAGGUCAAAACUCCCGUGCUGAUCAAGUGGUAGAGUGCCUACCUCCCAAGUGUGAGGUUGUUCAAACCCCAGUACCACCAAAAAUAAACAAAU